CAGCCCAGCUUUGCCUGCCGGUGGCUAAGAAGACUCACCGUAAGGGGCCGGCCCUGUGCCUGGAGGCUCCUGGCUCUGUCUGCAGCGGGUGCCCCGCAGAUAUUCUAGACCAUGUGUUGCAGGUCAUCCCAGUCCAUCACAGCCAUGGAGUGCACAACCGAGCGAGGCUGCGUGUCUAGGAAGUUUCAUCUCGUAAGAGCUGUGAGACACCCACGUAUUCUCUCAGGUGGAGGACAGCCAAGUGACCAGAGUUACAGAAGAGGGAGGAGAGCAGGAGAAAGAAGGGUCUGAACUGACAAAUUCUUCUGGCAGCGCCGAGAGCAAGAGCUGUGGAAUGGCCAGUCCCUGCAGUGAGGAAGGAUCCCUCCGAGCUGUCCCUAACAGAGCAGACCACCAGCAUGUGGUGCUGGGAGCUCAGUGCCCCCGUCAGCUACAUGCGUGAGCCACCACGUAUUGAGGAAGCCUUCCGGAUGAGGAGCAUCGAGAUGCAGCGGGAUGAGCUGUGUGCCAAAGGGCAACAGAGGAGACGUGAGCGGAGCGCUGUAAGAAGGUGGUACCCGAGCCUCAACUUGGCAGCCUGUAAACAGCAGAGGCAGGGCGGGCGAGCAGCCAAGAUGCUGCAAGAGGCUCAGAGGGGCGAAGCCGUGUGCUGAGGAGCGGUCCGAGAAGGCGCCAUGCAGGCAGCCUUUGGAAUUGGAUGAGCCUUUGAGGUGCCACGAGCGAUGACGGCUGCAGCGUCCGACGCUGGAAUUCCUGCAGAGCAGAUGAUGAAGAGGAACCUGGCAACUGCAGGAAUAUCCUGGUUCACUGAUGUGUUUUUUGCUGAGGAUGGAUUCAGACCCCUGCUGUCUGACAGCUAAGUUGAGGGACUGGAGACCACUGCCCUACAGCGUGUAAUUUUGACUUCAGUUGGAAAGAAAUUGUCCAAAGCGGAAAUCUUUCUCGUUCAAAGAAGUUGCAUUUUAUUGAACUUCCCAUCAGAGUGGCUCUUCAGAGGUGAUGUACUUGGCAGUAGAAUUCACC